UUAUUUUAAGCGCCAGUACCAAUCAUUGAAAUCAACUAUGAAAUGGUUGUGUAGACGAGGUAGAGAGUGAUCGAACUAUCGGCGGAUGCUCUCUCGUAUCUCCUCGAAUACGUGAUAUACUGACAAAACGAAAAGGUAACUUUUGGUACAAAUUCAGUA
rnacentral:ncRNA from 1 species